UACGUAGGGGGCAAGCGUUGUCCGGAAUUACUGGGCGUAAAGGGCUCGUAGGCGGCCAACUAAGUCAAACGUGAAAUCCCUCGGCUUAACCGGGGAACUGCGUCUGAUACUGGAUGGCUUGAGUUCGGGAGAGGGAUGCGGAAUUCCAGGUGUAGCGGUGAAAUGCGUAGAUAUCUGGAGGAACACCGGUGGCGAAGGCGGCAUCCUGGACCGACACUGACGCUGAGGAGCGAAAGCCAGGGGAGCAAACGGG
rnacentral:rRNA from 1 species